CCGGACCGGCGCACGGGUGAGUAACACGUAUGAAACCUGCCCGUAGCAGGGGGAUAAGCGGAAGAAAUUCCGUCUAAUACCGCGUAACAACCCAUGGAGGCAUCUCUGUGGGUUUAAAGGAAGCGAUUCCGGCUACGGAUGGUCAUGCGUCGCAUUAGCUUGUUGGCGGGGUAACGGCCCACCAAGGCGACGAUGCGUAGGGGUUCUGAGAGGAAGGUCCCCCACACUGGUACUGAGACACGGACCAGACUCCUACGGAAGGCAGCAG
rnacentral:rRNA from 1 species